ACAGCUCAAUUUGAAAGCUGGCUCUCUCGCCCUCCUUGUUGUUUUUUGAAGAUGCUUCUGGCGACGCGCCUUCCGAGUUCCCUGGAACGGAACGCCAUACAGGGAGAGAGCCACGUCCGGUCGGGCGCCUAGGCUCUGUGCAGCUCCUUCCACC
rnacentral:rRNA from 1 species